rnacentral:tRNA from 1 species
CGCCCUUGGCGGAGGUGUUGCCGCCGGCGUAGUUGGUGUAGGCCGGGUCCGCGCCGAGCCGGUGCGACCGGGCGAGCAGCUCGUCCUUGGCCGCC